rnacentral:rRNA from 1 species
CCUAGGAAUCUGCCUGGUAGUGGGGGACAACGUUUCGAAAGGAACGCUAAUACCGCAUACGUCCUACGGGAGAAAGCAGGGGACCUUCGGGCCUUGCGCUAUCAGAUGAGCCUAGGUCGGAUUAGCUAGUUGGUGAGGUAACGGCUCACCAAGGCGACGAUCCGUAACUGGUCUGAGAGGAUGAUCAGUCACACUGGAACUGAGACACGGUCCAGACUCCUACGGGAGGCAGCAGUGGGGAAUAUUGGACAAUGGGCGAAAGCCUGAUCCAGCCAUGCCGCGUGUGUGAAGAAGGUCUUCGGAUUGUAAAGCACUUUAAGUUGGGGAGGAAGGGCAGUAAGUUAAUACCUUGCUGUUUUGACGUUACCGACAGAAUAAGCACCGGCUAACUCUGUGCCAGCAGCCGCGGUAAUACAGAGGGUGCAAGCGUUAAUCGGAAUUACUGGGCGUAAAGCGCGCGUAGGUGGUUCGUUAAGUUGGAUGUGAAAGCCCCGGGCUCAACCUGGGAACUGCAUCCAAAA